GUCUCAUUCAGCACACAUCACGAUACUUGCCAUCAGUUUCCAUGUGCCACAGGUUCGCUGAAAAGAUGUAAAGGAAGCAGUCAGCCCUGUGGUGUUUCUGGAGAGGUAUUCCUUCAGAAAUGGAGAAGACAGAAAGCUGCGGAGGCAGACAUUUGCAGCACCCAAGUGUUCGAGUGAGCAUGGUGACCAAAAGUGUGUGUCGAACCUUUCAUGACCUGAUGACAGUGGUUCCCAAUCCUGGUCCUGGAGAGCCCCAACACUGCACGGUUUUGGUGUCUCUCUUAUCUGACAA